CCUACUGGAGGCAGCAGCAAGGAAUAUUGUGCAAUGGGCGAAAGCCUGACACAGUGACGCUGCGUGGGGGAAGAAGGCCUUCGGGUUGUAAACCCCUUUUCUCAGGGAAGAUGAUGACGGUACCGAGGAAUAAGUCUCGGCCAACUACGUGCCAGCAGCCGCGGUAAUACGUAGGAGGCGAGUGUUAUCCGGAUUUACUGGGCGUAAAGAGGGCGUAGGCGGCUUGGCAAGUCGGAUGUGAAAUCUCCUGGCUUAACUGGGAGGGGUCAUUCGAUACUGUUGGGCUAGAGGGCAGCAGAGGGAGGUAAAAUUCCCGGUGUAGGGGUGAAAUGCGUAGAUAUCGGGAGGAACACCAGUGGCGAGGGCGGCCUCCGGGGCUGUUUCUGACGCUGAGGCUCUAAAGCGGGGGGAGCGAACAGGAUUAGAUACCCGUGUAGU
rnacentral:rRNA from 1 species